GAGAGAGACAUGCGCGCAUAUCAAUAAGCGGAGGAAAAGAAACUAACUAGGAUUCCCUCAGUAACGGCGAGUGAAGCGGGAAGAGCUCAAAUUUGAAAUCUUCAAGGUUCUACCUUGACGAAUUGUAGUUUAAAGAAGUGUUUUCUGUUGGAGUUUUGGUAAAAGUUCUUUGGAAUAGGACAUCAUAGAGGGUGAGAAUCCCGUAUUUGACCAUUAUUUCCAGCUUUGUGAUACACUUUCAAAGAGUCGGAUUGUUUGGGAAUGCAGUCCAAAAUGGGUGGUAAAUUUCAUCUAAAGCUAAAUAUUGGCGAGAGACCGAUAGCGAACAAGUACCGUGAGGGAAAGAUGAAAAGAACUUUGAAAAGAGAGUUAAACAGUACGUGAAAUUGUCAAAAGGGAAGCGUUUGACACCAGUGUUGUUUUCUCGAAAAUCAAUUAAAAAAGGCAGGGAUUUUGUGUUGUAUUGACUUUAUCAGCUUUCUGCACUCUUUUCUUGUCUUUUUUAAUGCACUUUUCGUUUAACAAGUCAACAUCAAUUUCUUUUGUUGUAAAAGGGUCAUUGGAAGGUGGCUUUCUUUUCGGAGAAAGUGUUUAUAGCCUUUGGCCUCUGCAAUCGGAGAGAUUGAGGUCUGCAGCGUAGAUCCUUCGGGGUUAGAUACAUUUGUGCUAAGUUAUAGCCUUUCAUAGACAACUUGUUGACUAUGAUCAGUCAUGUAGCUUACUCGCUUAUGCUAUUUUACCUACGCUUAGGAUGUUGAUGUGAUACUGCGAGCA
rnacentral:rRNA from 1 species